rnacentral:rRNA from 1 species
ACACGCAUGACACACUGCAUAUCAAUAAGCGGAGGAAAAGAAACUAACAAGGAUUCCCUUAGUAACGGCGAGUGAAGCGGGAAGAGCUCAAAUUUGAAAUCUUCAAGGUUUUACCUUGACGAAUUGUAGUUUAAAGAAGUGUUUUCUGUUGGAGUUUUGGUAAAAGUUCUUUGGAAUAGGACAUCAUAGAGGGUGAGAAUCCCGUAUUUGACCAUUAUUUCCAGCUGUGUGAUACACUUUCAAAGAGUCGGAUUGUUUGGGAAUGCAGUCCAAAAUGGGUGGUAAAUUUCAUCUAAAGCUAAAUAUUGGCGAGAGACCGAUAGCGAACAAGUACCGUGAGGGAAAGAUGAAAAGAACUUUGAAAAGAGAGUUAAACAGUACGUGAAAUUGUCAAAAGGGAAGCGUUUGACACCAGUGUUGUUUUCUCGAAAAUCAAUUAAAAAUGAUGGGAUUUUGUGUUGUAUUGACUUUAUCAGCUUUCUGCACUCUUUUCUUAUCUUUUUUAAUGCACUUUUCGUUUAACAAGUCAACAUCAAUUUCUUUUGUUGUAAAAGAGUCAUUGGAAGGUGGCUUUUCUUUCGGAAAAAGUGUUUAUAGCCUUUGGCUUCUGCAAUCGGAGAGAUUGAGGUCUGCAGCGUAGAUCCUUCGGGGUUAGAUACAUUUGUGCUAAGCUAUAGUUCUUUAUAGACAACUUAGUUGACUAUAAUCAAUCCUGUAACUUACUCGCUUAUGCUAUUUUACCUACGCUUAGGAUGUUGAAGACUCUACAGAGAUA